rnacentral:lncRNA from 1 species
CAUCUAUGGUGCUCCGUUACUGGGAAGAUCAUAUCGGAUCCGAUCAAUUUAUUGGUUCCAUUCCCCCAAUUGGAAGUCAACACGGCUCCUUAGAAAAAAUGCAUUGCAAUGCGUCAUAAUUAUCUGGACUACUAAGUACUUCCAUAUAACUUCGAAAACAGACAAUAAUUUAUUUUACUGGAUGAGAUUGGGCUGACGGAUUUUUAAUGGAUGGUAAUUUUUAUUUAUAGCACAAGUUUACAAGGCAAGAUUAUUCACCUUUUUCACCCUACAAAUCAAAUGGUUGCCUCCUUACACCUACACGACCUAAAACAUAUUCAUAUGAACAUAUGGUAUCAUUCAUUUGUGUGACAACUCUGAGUGUAAGAUUGACGGGGAGGGAUCCAGAACUUUUCAUUUUCUUUUUGGAAAAGGGGGGGGGGGGUGGAUGCUUGCUCCAGUCUAGUCCAAAUAAUUAUGACGUCUUGAAAGGCUAUUAUAAUUUUUUUCUUUGACGCCUUACAUCGAUGUAAGGCGUCAAAGAAAAAAUUAUAAUAGCCUUUCAAGACGUCAAUGUAAGGCGUCAAAGAAAAAAUUAUAAUAGCCUUUCAAGACGUCAUAAUUAUUUGGACUAGCUCCAGUCAUGCUUCAGUGAUACCCUAUAUAGUCAACAAAAAAUUUUACACGAAAAGGGGGGGGGGGCUUUCCCCUUAAUUAGAAAUCUCUAUUUUCAGGCAUAGGCUCAUAUAAAUUUGCCUGUUGAAGAACUGAAAUAAAUAUGAGAUGGCUAAUAAGUUUUCAGCUGCUUUACAUUAAUAUACAUCAUAUAUACAUAUAUGUGACAUACACAAUUAGAGCCAUUUAAAAAGCUAUUUUUUGCAAUACUUAAAUAAUGUAGGAUCAAAUCUUGAUACGUGUAGUUGAAGUUGUUUAAAGUUAAACAUAAGAAUGACCAUAUAGUUUUUAAUGUAUAUAUGCUAUAUAUUGCCAUGAAACUAGGUCAUUGUAGGUAAACUGUCAUCUAUUCCCUUAAAUCUUAGUUCACGCCAAGUUUGAUUAAAAUUAGUCGAGUAUAUCUACCAUGUCUACUCUAUUAGGUCUCUAGUUUGGAUAGUGUUUAACUUGCAAAUUAAAAUCAUACUACUUCCAAAUUUAUUUCUUUAUUAAAAAUAUUAUGGAUGAAAUACCAAGUAAUUAAGAGGAUGAAAUUAAAUUGGAUGAAAUGUGGCAAAUUUUUUAGGUAAAGUAGUAAUUUGAUAAAGUUUAAAAAGGUAAAAUAUUAGUAUGUCUGAAGUUGUCAAACUUAAUUAUAGACCCUUUAAAAAUAAAAUUAUCCUUAUUUCAAGUUAUAGCUUAUAGAUUUUUCUAUAAUGUUGAUCAGGGGUGGAUCCAGCCAUUAUUAAACAGGGAGGGGUCCCAACCCAGAGUAAAGGGGGGGGUCCAACUACUGUAUAUGCUCCCAUUGAAAUGCAUUGCUCGGCAAAAGAAAAGGGGUGGUUCCAACCCCUGCCCCCCUCCCCCCAGUCCAAUUUUACCUCACUGUUCUAGGAAACAAAAUAGUCCAUUUUUUUCCUGAUUUUUUUUAGGGACUCAAUUUUUUCUGUUUGAUUAUAGAUUUAUGCUGAAUUGAAACAUAUUUAUCUGUAUAUAGAUUUAAAAAAAAAUCUUGCAUCUUUUUGGAGAUAUCAAUCCAGGAAAGUGGAAGGAUUUCAUGUUUACUGGAUGUGGUGUGGCCUAGUGAAAACAGCAAACAGAAAGUAGAAAAAAAAAUGUUUUGACUUCAGGGUUACAUAACUUUUUAUUCUUCGUGGCAUGACCCACUUUUUCCCCGAUUAAAUCACAAUUUCACAUUAGUACAUACAUGAUAUGAACAUGAAAAUGUUUUCCUAUGUAGCAUUUUUUAUUUUUUUAUUUUCAAAGAUCAGCUGUUUAGCAUGUAAGCCUAUGGAGCAGUCAAUUACAAGACUGCAACCUAAAGAAAAACACAUACUGAUGUUUAAUAAUAGUUUUUAUCCUUUUUAUGUUUAGGACAAGAAAUAUAGAAAAAUAUAAACAGUUAAAAUAGAAAUGAGCGACAAAACAAGAAAAACAGAAUACAACAAGGCCUAAAUGGUAAGACCACUUCUAUAUACUGCACAAUCAUGUAAAUUCAGAAAUUAUUGAUAUGUUGAUUGCAUUUAUUAUUGUGAUUUUUCACAAAUGGACAACUUAUUGUGAUUACAAAAAAAAUCUGCAUAAAGAUCUAUAUAUAUAUAUAUAUAUAUAUGUUUUUGUUAUCAAAAUAUGAGUUCUUAUUUUUGCGAUACUCACCCAGUCACAUUAUUCGCAUUACUAAAAACCUCUCGAUAAUUUCUGAAUUACAGUAAUAAAAAUAAUUGCCUUUAAAUGAUGACAUAUAUAAAAAUAAGAAGAUGUGGUAUGGUAAAUGAGUGACUUAUCCACCAGAGUUCAAUGCAGUGAAUGCAAGAAAUUAAAGGCCAAUGAUGGGCCGGCCUUCAAUAAUGAGACAACACUUCCUUUAUAGGUCAGCCAAUAAAGAUCCCAACAUGAAAAGAUUUAAACAAUCCAAAAGAAAAAGUAAAAUCACAAAAAUACUGAACUUAGAGGAAAAUCAAUUCGGAAAGUCCAUAAUCACAUGGCAAAAUCAAAUAACAAAACGCAUCAAAAACGAAUGGACAAGAACUGUCAUAUUCCUGACUUGGUACAGGCAAUUUCAAAUGUAGAAAAUGGUGGAUUAAACCUGGUUUUAUAGCGCUAAUCCUUUCACUUUGAUGACAGUCUCAUCAAAUUCCGUUAUAUUUACAUUGUUGCGUUAACUAAACAGACACAAUAAAUAAAAUAGUACAAAUAUGGGUACAUCAGUCAUCAUCGUAUAACAAUUUUAAAAGGAACAAUUUUACAGAACACAAACACAUCUAUCUACAAACACAUUCAUCAUGUUCAUUGAUUUGUGUGUCUGACGUCGGAAAGUUUUAUACGUCACAUAGAUUUGUCGUUCAAUGUGCAUACAAACAAUUUUAAAAUUUACAUAGGCAAUGUUAUCAUAUAGGGCAAAAAAAUUAAAAGUAUGUAAGAAUAAAUUUCAGAAAUAGACAGAGAUUGAAAGUUGUCCAAAAGUUUUAUAGAAUUUAUAAGAAUCCACAAAUAGAUAAUUCCACUACGCAAUUAAAUGAUUUUGACGUUUAUGGUUCAAUGUAUUUUGUAAUUCAUAAUAGAAAUAUACCAUAAUGACAUAAAAUGAACAAUAUCAUACUGAUGGGAUCUUUUAAAGUACAGAGUCACGUUAUAAGAACCAAAGAAAUACAAAAAGUCGCAUAUACAAAACACGCCACCAAAAAAUGAAAGACAAUACAAACACAUUGACAAGAUGUAUAAGUACAGAGCCACGUCAAACGGAUAUCACAUAAAACCAUUCAACAGUAAAAGUAAUAUUAAUGAUAGUACAAAGACAAAUGAAAGAACUAUAACACACGUUGUUAAGAUGAUAAACAACAUCAGUACGCAGAAUCUAUACAUCAAGACCAUCGUGUAUUAUUUGUGAAGUUCAACAUAUUCAAAGUCAAUAACAAUCAACCUUACCAUAUAUAGGACAGUGGUUCAAAUAACACAACAUAUGAACAUUCUAUAACAACUAUUGCAAGUGGCUCAACUUUAAAUAUCACUGCAAGGCACUAAACAACGAAUAUUAAAUCUUGGACACAAAGCACUGAAAUAAGAGAACUCAUAAGUAAGAAUAUCAAAUGAAAGUUUCUCAAAAUUUUUAUUAAAACAUGAUAAAAUAAGCUUAUUUAUAUUGCUGUUUUUUUCUCCAUUUAUAACAUAUUUUUUUUAAUUUUGUGUAUUUAUAGGUCAGAUUUCUUGGUUUUUAUGAUCAUCAACAGGUCCUGCAGGUCUAUACUGAAGAGGAAACUUAAUUGUUAAUACUUUCUCUACAUAAUCAUGAUAAUGUGCUAAUUAGAUUAAUUAAUGUGAAAUGAACUGCACUGUGUGUUUUUCUGGAAAAAGAAAUAGAAAAAAUUCUACAAAAUUGCUAUAAACAAAAUGGAGUACAUGUACUAUCAAAGAUGCGCAAGAACACAAUUGUGUAAAAUGUAACAACCUACAUAUUCACUGAUGGAUUAUGGAGAAAUUAAGAAAAAAAUAGUAUCUUUGUCAUGUUUGUUGUCGAAAUAAACACCUGCUUUAUCCAUUCAUGUACAUGGCUCCAUCAUAUCAAAUAUACAGAGAAGAUGUUUGAAGAACAAGUUGCAAAAAUUUAUUCAGCCAAUUGAAAGAAGAUGUCUUAUGAUGGAAUUAUUUAUGCACUGAACUGUUAUGUAGGGGGUCGAAUAAUUGUACACAGCAGCUGAAACAAACGACAAGUUAUAUGCAAAUGUGAGCACAAUAUUAAUAACAUCACAAAUGGUAUGAUAUUCAUAGUGUUUUGCUUAUUAUUGUAUUGUCUUAAACAUGUUAUUAACAGUCAGCCUUUUGUUUU